rnacentral:tRNA from 1 species
GGAGAGGUGCCGGAGCGGUUGAACGGGCUCGCCUGGAAAGUGAGUAUAGGUUAAUAGCCUAUCGAGGGUUCGAAUCCCUCCCUCUCCGCCA